rnacentral:rRNA from 1 species
CUGGGGCUGGCGGUGGUGGAAAGAGUCCGGAAACGCCAAGCAUCAAGGAUAACAUGGCUGCGGGCAGGAGACGCUCAAACAGCCUUUUUCCAAGCCAAGAUCAAUGCCAGGCGCAGGAAAAACUUCAUCCACUCGCUGCAUGGAUCGAGGGGUAUUGCCACCACCCAUGACGACAAGGAGGAAAUCGUCCAUAGCCAUUUCGCUGGAUCGUUAGGAACUAGGAAGAACCGACCACACACUAUCGACUGGAGCUACAUCGACAUGCCUACGGUACAAGGUGGUGGCCUAGACAAUCCGUUCACU